AUUUUCAACUCAUUGAUCUCUAAUCUGAACGGUGGAGAUCGGAUUUGAAGUUCCGGAAGGUUGUUGUUUCAGUCCGUGAACAGUGCGUCUUGUUGCUGAUUUCUUCUCACCCGGGCAGUUCUGAUAUUCAGCCUUGAUCGAGAUUAAUCCGUGGUCUGAUCGAGAUGAUUUUUGGCUAGCACGUUCUUAACUCAUUGAUCUUCAUUUUGAACGGUGGAGAUUGGAUUUGGAGUUUGGAACAGUGGUGAUUUGUGUCCGGGAACAGUGACUCUAUUUUGGUGAGAUCUCUCCAUUGUUUUAUGCAAGUUGUUUUGUAUUUGCCAAGACUAAUUGUCUUGAGAUAUGGCUGAUGUAAACCUCUAGUUUCAUCUAGAGAGAAUUGUGUAACCCAUUGAUUAUAUUAGUGGAGGGUUUAAGUGGCUUAAGGGUCCCAUGGUUUUUACUUCUCACAUUUGGGAAGGUUUUCCACGCUAAAAAUUGUUGGUAUUCAUAUUCUUGUUGCAUUGGGUGAAUUGUUGCUACUCUAUUAAAUUGAUUCCUAUUAGGUUCUCACAAGAGGGGAUAAAAUCUGGUUGUGCAUUGUUUGCGUUUAUCCCAUCAAAGUGGUAUCAGAGCAUUGGUUCAAGAUAAUUUGUGCCUUGUGUAGAACAAUGGAAAGCAAUACAAGUAGAAUGAUCACUCUGAAUGGUUCCAAUUAUCAUGUUUGGAAAGGAAAAAUGGAAGACUUAUUGUAUGUGAAGGAUUAUUAUUUGCCUGUGUUUGCUUCUGAAAGGCCAGAAAAUAAAACUGAUGCAGAAUGGAAUUUACUUCAUCGACAGGUUUGCGGUUAUAUCAGACAGUGGGUAGAUGAUAAUGUUCUCAAUCAUGUUAGUGAAGAGAAACAUGCAAGGAGUCUAUGGAAUAAGCUCGAACAGUUAUAUGCUCGAAAGACUGACAAUAAUAAAUUGUUUCUAAUCAAGAAGAUGAUGAGUUUGAAGUAUCAAGAUGGAACUCCUAUGACAGAUCAUUUGAAUACAUUCCAAGGUAUUAUUAAUCAGUUGGUUGGAAUGAAUAUCAAGUUUGAGGAAGAGGUGCAAGGGUUGUGGCUUCUUGGUACAUUGCCGGACUCGUGGGAGACGUUUAGAACUUCUUUGUCUAACUCAGCCCCAGAUGGUAUUAUGAAUAUGGACUUAGUUAAGAGUUGUGUUCUAAAUGAAGAAAUGAGAAGAAAGUCACAGGGCUCUUCUUCACAGUCAAGUGUCCUAGUUAUUGAGAAGAGGGGGAGGAGUAAGAGUAGAGGUCCAAAGAACAGAGAUAGAAGCAAAAGCAAGACUAACAAGUUUGCCAAUGUUGAGUGCCACUACUGCCAUUUGAAAGGGCAUAUAAAAAAAUAUUGUCGCCAAUUGAAGAGAGAUAUGAAACAAGGGAAAGUGAAGGAAAAUAAGAAUGACAAUGGUGGUGAAGAUGAUCAAGUUGCCACUACCACUUCAGAUUUCUUUAUUGUUUAUGAUAGUGAUAUUGUUAAUUUUGCUUGCCAGGAAACCAGUUGGGUGAUUGACAGUGGUGCCUCCAUCCAUGCUACGCUUCGGAAGGAUUUCUUUACAUCCUACACAUCCGGUGAUUUUGGAAGUGUUAGGAUGGGUAAUGAUGGCUCAGCUAAAGCCAUUGGUAUGGGAGAUGUACGUUUGGAGACUAGUAAUGGUACUAUGUUGACUUUGAAGAAUGUUAAACACAUUCCGGAUAUUUGCAUGAAUUUAAUCUCCACAGGAAAGCUUGAUGAUGAAGGGUUCUGCAACACCUUCCGUGAUAGUCAGUGGAAGCUCACUAGAGGUUCUAUGGUGAUAGCAAAAGGAAAUAAGAGUUCCUCAUUGUAUUUGAUGCAGGCAAGGGUAAUUGAUUCCAGUAUCAAUGCAGUGGAUGAUGAUAGUACAUUUGAGCUUUGGCACAACAGGCUUGGUCACAUGAGUGAGAAGGGCUUGAUGAUUUUGGCUAAGAAGAAUCUUCUUUCUGGUAUGAAGAAGGGAUCUUUGAAGAGGUGUGCUCAUUGCUUAGCAGGAAAGCAGACCAGAGUUGCAUUCAAAACACUUCGCCAUACAAGGAAGCCAGGUAUGCUUGAUUUAGUGUAUUCUGAUGUGUGUGGCCCCAUGAAAACAAAAACACUUGGUGGAUCUCUAUAUUUUGUGACUUUUAUAGAUGAUCAUUCAAGGAAGAUUUGGGUUUAUACCUUGAAAACAAAAGACCAAGUGUUAGAUGUGUUUAAGCAAUUUCAUGCGCUUGUUGAAAGACAAUCUGGUGAAAAGUUGAAAUGUAUCCGGACUGAUAAUGGGGGUGAGUAUUCUGGUCCUUUUGAUGAGUAUUGUAGACAACAUGGUAUUCGACAUCAAAAGACACCUCCUAAGACUCCUCAGUUGAAUGGGUUGGCUGAGAGAAUGAAUAGGACACUGGUUGAAAGAGUAAGAUGCUUACUUUCGCAGUCACAGUUGCCAAGAUCUUUUUGGGGUGAGGCUUUGAAUACUGUUGUACAUGUUCUCAAUCUUACACCAUGUGUUCCUUUAGAAUUUGAUGUUCCGGAUAGAAUUUGGUCAAAUAAUGAAAUCUCUUAUGAUCACUUGCGUGUCUUUGGAUGCAAGGCUUUUGUGCAUAUUCCCAAAGAUGAGAGAUCUAAGCUUGAUGCUAAGACAAGACCUUGUGUAUUUAUUGGCUAUGGUCAGGAUGAGCUUGGUUACAGGUUUUAUGAUCCGGUGCAGAAAAAACUUGUAAGAAGUCGAGAUGUUGUGUUUAUGGAAGACCAUACUAUACAGGAUAUUGAGAAGACUAAUCCAAUGGAGUCUCAGCAUAGUGGUGAUUUGAUUGAUUUAGAUCCAGCUCCUCUAACAAAUCUUCCUACACAGGUUGAAGAUGAAGCACAUGAUGACCAACAUGACAUGGGUGAUGUUGAAACACCCACACAGGUUGAAGAUGAAGCACAUGAUGACCAACAUGACAUGGGUGAUGUUGAAACACCCACACAAGUUGAGGUGGAUGAUGAUGUUCAUGAGCAGUCACCAGCAGCAGAGGCUCCAUCAGAUAUUCCACUUAGAAGGUCUACCAGAGAUCGACAUCCUUCCACACGAUAUUCUGUUGAUGACUAUGUAUUACUAACUGAUGGGGGAGAACCUGAAAGUUAUGUGGAAGCCAUGGAAGAUGAAAAUAAGAUGAAGUGGGUUGAUGCUAUGCAAGAUGAGAUGGAGUCAUUGCAUGAGAACCAUUCUUUUGAGCUUGUCAAGUUGCCAAAGGGAAAAAGAGCUUUGAAGAACAGGUGGGUUUACAGAGUGAAGCAAGAAGAACACACUUCACAACCUCGUUACAAAGCUAGAUUGGUCGUCAAAGGGUUCAAUCAAAAGAAAGGUAUUGAUUUUGAUGAGAUUUUUUCUCCUGUUGUUAAGAUGUCAUCUAUUCGUGUGGUUUUGGGCUUGACAGCUAGUCUUGAUUUGGAGAUUCAGCAGAUGGAUGUUAAGACUGCAUUUCUCCAUGGUGAUUUAGACAAAGAAAUUUAUAUGGAACAACCAGAGGGUUUCGUACUAAAAGGGAAAGAGGAUUAUGUGUGUAAGCUGAAGAAAAGUCUUUAUGGCUUGAAGCAAGCACCGAGGCAGUGGUAUAAGAAGUUUGAGUCAGUUAUGGGGGAGCAAGGCUACCGAAAAACUACUUCUGACCAUUGUGUAUUUGUGAAGAAAUUCUCUGAUGAUGAUUUUGUUAUAUUGUUGCUCUAUGUUGAUGAUAUCUUGAUUGUUGGCAGGAAUGUUUCAAGAAUUGAUAGCUUGAAGAAGCAGUUAAGCAAAUCCUUUGCCAUGAAGGAUUUAGGGCCAGUAAAGAGAAUUCUUGGCAUCAGAAUUGAGCGGGAUAGAGCAUCCAAGAAGCUAUGUAUGUUACAAGAGCAAUAUAUUGAAAAGGUGCUUGCAAGGUUUAACAUGAGCAAAGCCAAAGUGGUUAGUUCUCCUCUAGCUAGUCACUUUAAGCUAAGCAGCAGACAUAGCCCUUCUACAGAUAAGGAGAAGGAAGACAUGAGAAGAGUUCCGUAUGCCUCAGCAGUAGGAAGUUUGAUGUAUGCUAUGGUAUGUACUAGACCAGACAUAGCUUAUGCAGUUGGUGUUGUUAGCCGGUUUUUAUCGAAUCCAGGAAGACAUCAUUGGGAAGCAGUCAAGUGGAUUAUGAGAUAUUUACGAGGCACUUCCAAGUUGAAACUCACUUUUGGAAGUGGGAAACCAAUACUUGUUGGAUACACUGAUUCAGACAUGGCAGGGGAUGUGGAUAAUAGAAGGUCUACUUCAGGCUAUUUGAUGACAUUCUCAGGAGGUGCUGUGUCUUGGCAAUCGAGACUACAGAAAUGUGUUGCACUUUCUACAACAGAGGCAGAGUACAUUGCAGCAGCAGAAGCAUGUAAAGAGUUGUUGUGGAUAAAGUGUUUCAUGCAAGAGCUCGGGUUUAAACAACAGCGCUAUGUGGUAUACUGUGAUAACCAAAGUGCUAUUCACCUCAGUAAGAAUUCUACCUAUCAUGCAAGAUCAAAACACAUUGAUGUGAGGUAUCAUUGGAUGAGAGAUGCUCUCAAUGAUAACUUGUUUGAAAUUGAGAAAAUACAUACAGAUAACAAUGGCUCGGAUAUGUUGACAAAGACACUACCAAGGGAGAAGCUUGGAGUUUGUUGUUCCAUCGCUGGGAUGGUGAGUCCCUCCACAUAGUCGGAAAGGGGGAGAUUUGUUGGGUUGGGUUUUUUCCUUCUUGUGGAGGAAAGCCCAAAGCCCAAACAUUUAAGGCUUCUUAGGCCUUAAUGUAUAAAAGGGAAGAAGAAACCAUUUUCUCUUCUUCUUCUUCAUCUUUGCAGCCCUAGGAGGAGAGUAAGAAGAAAAAGGAAGAGAAAGUUGGAGAGAAAAAGGACCAAAGCCACUGAUUUUUGAAAUUAGAGAGAAGAAAAACGCUAAUUUCUUUUCUUCUCUUUACUGUCCAGAUUUCAUCAAACCUUCAUGUGUGGUCCGAUCGACCUGAAAUUUGAAGGAGAGAUUUUCAACUCAUUGAUCUCUAAUCUGAACGGUGGAGAUCGGAUUUGAAGUUCCGGAAGGUUGUUGUUUCAGUCCGUGAACAGUGCGUCUUGUUGCUGAUUUCUUCUCACCCGGGCAGUUCUGAUAUUCAGCCUUGAUCGAGAUUAAUCCGUGGUCUGAUCAAGAUGAUUUUUGGCUAGCACGUUCUUAACUCAUUGAUCUUCAUUUUGAACGGUGGAGAUUGGAUUUGGAGUUUGGAACAGUGGUGAUUUGUGUCCGGGAACAGUGACUCUAUUUUGGUGAGAUCUCUCCAUUGUUUUAUGCAAGUUGUUUUGUAUUUGCCAAGACUAAUUGUCUUGAGAUAUGGCUGAUGUAAACCUCUAGUUUCAUCUAGAGAGAAUUGUGUAACCCAUUGAUUAUAUUAGUGGAGGGUUUAAGUGGCUUAAGGGUCCCGUGGUUUUUACUUCUCACAUUUGGGAAGGUUUUCCACGCUAAAAAUUGUUGGUAUUCAUAUUCUUGUUGCAUUGGGUGAAUUGUUGCUACUCUAUUAAAUUGAUUCCUAUUAGGUUCUCACAAGAGGGGAUAAAAUCUGGUUGUGCAUUGUUUGCGUUUAUC
rnacentral:lncRNA from 1 species